GAAAUCUCAUCUUAAUAUUAGCACGCCCGAGUUCAUUGACAGAACUGCACGCAAUCCUCUUGGAAUAUUAGUUUGUUCUAACGUGGCCACGUCGUCCGGAUUGAUGAAAUCUGACGGUUCUUACGGCACUAAUCGGCGGUUCUGAUCUUUCCAGGGUUUGUACUUUGACAACCGAGAGGACAGUUAGGUCGAGUCAACGGGCAAAUGA